rnacentral:rRNA from 1 species
GACAGAGGGUGCAAACGUUGCUCGGAAUUACUGGGCGUAGAGCGCGUGUAGGCGGUCACGCAAGUCAGGUGUGAAAGCCCAGGGCUCAACCCUGGAAGUGCACAUGAUACUACGUGGCUGGAGUACUGAAGAGGAGAGCGGAAUUCCCGGUGUAGAGGUGAAAUUCGUAGAUAUCGGGAGGAACACCAGUGGCGAAGGCGGCUCUCUGGGCAGAUACUGACGCUGAGACGCGAAAGCGUGGGUAGCAAACAGG